rnacentral:lncRNA from 13 species
GUGAUUGGAAGCAGAAAGAUUAUGAUGUCAUAGGGUACCGGAGAAAGGAAUGGAUGUAACUAUGCAAGGCUGGGUAAAGCCAAACAUGAAGGAGUAGAACACUUGGAGGGAAGAACCAAGAUGGCUGACUAGAUGAAGACAGAAAGAGCUUCUCUCACUAUGAGACCACAUGAUCAAGAGAACCAGCACACUUCAAACAUGUCUUUGGAAAGACAACACUGAAAGUGGACAGAGGGAGGGUGCAGAACCUGGGCUGAAAAGAGAGGAAGCUGAGAACCCUGUAUGGAGUUGUCGAGCACUACAAUGUUUUCCUGGCCCUGAGCAGAUCCUGGGGAAGGGCUACUCAUCCAUACCUCUGGUGACCAUCCUUCUGUUCUAUCUCCAUGAGCUCUAUUGUUUUAAUUCUUGCUUCCACAGGAUAAGACUAUUUACGAACCUGGCUUGGCACAGUUUGGGAGACUGUGCCAACACUUUGGGAGACUGA